rnacentral:rRNA from 1 species
UGAGGAACAUGACCUUCGGCGGGGGAUAGCCGGCCCAACGGCCGGGUAAUACCGCGUACGACCACAUGGGGACAUCCCUGAGUGGUGAAAGCAGCAAUGCGCCGAUGGAGUGCCUCGCGGCCUAUCAGCUAGUUGGUGAGGUAACGGCUCACCAAGGCGACGACGGGUAGCUGGUCUGAGAGGAUGGCCAGCCANAUUGGGACUGAGACCACGGACCAGACCUGUACGGGGAG